UGAUCCUGGCUCAGAACGAACGCUGGCGGCACGCCUAACACAUGCAAGUCGAGCGCACCUUCGGGUGAGCGGCGGACGGGUUAGUAACGCGUGGGAACAUACCCUUCACUACGGAAUAGCCUCGGGAAACUGAGAGUAAUACCGUAUACGUCCUCCGGGAGAAAGAUUUAUCGGUGAAGGAUUGGCCCGCGUUAGAUUAGAUAGUUGGUGGGGUAACGGCCUACCAAGUCUACGAUCUAUAGCUGGUUUGAGAGGACGAUCAGCAACACUGGGACUGAGACACGGCCCAGACUCCUACGGGAGGCAGCAGUGGGGAAUCUUAGACAAUGGGCGAAAGCCUGAUCUAGCGAUGCCGCGUGAGUGACGAAGGCCUUAGGGUCGUAAAGCUCUUUCGCCAGGGAUGAUAAUGACAGUACCUGGUAAAGAAACCCCGGCUAACUCCGUGCCAGCAGCCGCGGUAAUACGGAGGGGGUUAG
rnacentral:rRNA from 1 species